UCAGUGCAAAAAGACUUUAUUUAUGAUAAGCUCAGUGUUGAGAUUGUAGACAUCACUAUAUUUUUAAUAUCAGUCCUCUGAUCACACAAGUUUGGAACACACAAACAUCAGGAAAACAUUUAACAACUUCUCUCUGAUAGAUAUAAAUAAAUAAAUAAAACCAUAAUAAAUAAGAAUAAAUAUAUGAUUAAACAUUUGGUUACUUAAACAUUUCAAAUGGUCACAGGUACUUCAGUUUGUUGCUUCAUUUGGAGGAUGUGAACUUAAGAAAUGUUAAAAACAUGAUCUGAGUACAUGUGACGACAGAGCCAGAACUACUGUAAGGAAGCUGAUGUUGUUGAGAAUAGCAGAGGAGGUGGUUGUUGCUGUCGCUGCAGUUAUGGUUGUUGAAGCAGCUGUAGUUGUUGUCGCGGCAGUUUUGGUUGUUGUUGGAACAGUUGUGGUUGUUGUUGCUGGUGUUGUUGUUGUUGUCGCUGCGGUUGUGGUUGUUGUUGAAGCAGCUGCAGUUGUUGUCGCGGCAGUUGUGAUUGUUGUUGGAACAGCUGUGGUUGUUGUCGCUGCAGUUGUGGUUGUUGUUGGAGCAGCUGUGGUUGUUGUUGGAGCAGCUGUGGUUGUUGUCGCUGCAGUUGUGGUUGUUGUUGGAACAGCUGUGGUUGUUGUUGGGGCAGCUGUGAUUGUUGUUGGAGCAGAUGUGGUUGUUGUUGGAACAGCUGUAGUUGUUGUCGCUGCAACUGUAGUUGUUGUUGGAGCAGCUGUGGUUGUUGUUGUCGCAGCUGUAGUUGUUGUUGCUGCAACUGUAGUUGUUGUUGUCGCAACUGUAGUUGUUGUCGGUGCAGCUGUGGUUGUUGUUGGAGCAGCUGUGGUUGUUGUUGGAACAGCUGUAGUUGUUGUCGCUGCAACUGUAGUUGUUGUUGGAGCAGCUGUGGUUGUUGUUGUCGCAACUGUAGUUGUUGUCGGUGCAGCUGUGGUUGUCGUUGGAGCAGAUGUGGUUGUUGUUGGAGCAGCUGUGGUUGUUGUUGGAACAGCUGUGGUUGUUGUUGUUGCAGCUGUAGUUGUUGUCGGUGCAGCUGUAGUUGUUGUUGCUGCAACUGUAGUUGUUGUUGCUGCAACUGUAGUUGUUGUUGGAGCAGCUGUGGUUGUUGUUGUCGCAGCUGUAGUUGUUGUCGGUGCAGCUGUAGUUGUCGGUGCAGCUGUAGUUGUUGUUGCUGCAACUGUAGUUGUUGUUGGAGCAGCUGUGGUUGUUGUUGUCGCAGCUGUAGUUGUUGUCGGUGCAGCUGUAGUUGUUGUUGCUGCAACUGUAGUUGUUGUUGCUGCAACUGUAGUUGUUGUUGGAGCAGCUGUGGUUGUUGUCGGUGCAGCUGUGGUUGUUGUUGGAGCAGCUGUGGUUGUUGUUGGUGCAGCUGUGGUUGUUGUUGGUGCAGCUGUGGUUGUUGUUGGUGCAACUGUAGUUGUUGUUGCUGCAACUGUGGUUGUUGUUGGAGCAGCUGUGGUUGUUGUCCCUGCAGCUGUGGUUGUUGUUGGAGCAGCUGUGGUUGUUGUUGGUUCAGCUGUGGUUGUUGUUGGAGCAGCUGUGGUUGUUGUUGUCGCAACUGUAGUUGUUGUCGGUGCAGCUGUGGUUGUCGUUGGAGCAGAUGUGGUUGUUGUUGGAGCAGCUGUGGUUGUUGUUGGAUCAGCUGUGGUUGUUGUUGUUGCAGCUGUAGUUGUUGUUGCUGCAACUGUAGUUGUUGUUGCUGCAACUGUAGUUGUUGUCGGUGCAGCUGUAGUUGUUGUUGCUGCAACUGUAGUUGUUGUUGCUGCAACUGUAGUUGUUGUUGGAGCAGCUGUGGUUGUUGUUGUCGCAGCUGUAGUUGUUGUCGGUGCAGCUGUAGUUGUUGUCGGUGCAGCUGUAGUUGUUUUUGCUGCAACUGUAGUUGUUGUCGCUGCAACUGUAGUUUUUGUUGGAGUAGCUGUGGUUGUUGUUGUCGCAGCUGUAGUUGUUGUCGGUGCAGCUGUAGUUGUUGUUGCUGCAACUGUAGUUGUUGUUGCUGCAACUGUAGUUGUUGUUGGAGCAGCUGUGGUUGUUGUCCCUGCAGCUGUGGUUGGUGUUGGAGCAGCUGUGGUUGUUGUUGGUGCAGCUGUGGUUGUUGUUGGAGCAGCUGUGGUUGUUGUCGCUGCAGUUGUGGUUGUUGUUGGUGCAGCUGUAGUUGUUGUUGCUGCAACUGUAGUUGUUGUUGCUGCAACUGUAGUUGUUGUUGGAGCAGCUGUGGUUGUUGUCCCUGCAGCUGUGGUUGUUGUCCCUGCAGCUGUGGUUGUUGUUGGAGCAGCUGUGGUUGUUGUUGGUGCAGCUGUGGUUGUUGUUGGUGCAGCUGUGGUUGUUGUUGGAGCAACUGUAGUUGUUGUUGCUACAACUGUGGUUGUUGUUGGUGCAGCUGUGGUUGUUGUCCCUGCAGCUGUGGUUGUUGUUGGAGCAGCUGUGGUUGUUGUUGGUGCAGCUGUGGUUGUUGUUGGAGCAGCUGUGGUUGUUGUCGCUGCAGUUGUGGUUGUCGUUGGAACAGCUGUGGUUGUUGUUGGGGCAGCUGUGAUUGUUGUUGGAGCAGCUGUGGUUGUUGUUGUCGCAGCUGUAGUUGUUGUCGGUGCAGCUGUAGUUGUUGUUGCUGCAACUGUAGUUGUUGUUGUCGCAACUGUAGUUGUUGUCGGUGCAGCUGUGGUUGUUGUUGGAGCAGCUGUGGUUGUUGUUGGAACAGCUGUAGUUGUUGUCGCUGCAGCUGUGGUUGUUGUUCGAACAGCUGUGG
ensembl:lncRNA